GUUCUCAGUUCGGACUGUAGGCUGCAACUCGCCUACACGAAGUCGGAAUCGCUAGUAAUCGCGGAUCAGCAUGCCGCGGUGAAUACGUUCCCGGGCCUUGUACACACCGCCCGUCACACCAUGGGAGUCUGUAACACCCAAAGCCGGUGGGAUAACCUUUAUAGGAGUCAGCCGUCUAAGGUAGGACAGAUGAUUAGGGUGAAGUCGUAACAAGGUACC
rnacentral:rRNA from 1 species